rnacentral:rRNA from 1 species
GAUGAACGCUGGCGGCGUGCUUAACACAUGCAAGUCGAACGAUGAAGCCCAGCUUGCUGGGUGGAUUAGUGGCGAACGGGUGAGUAACACGUGAGCAACCUGCCCCUGACUCUGGGAUAAGCGCUGGAAACGGCGUCUAAUACUGGAUAUGUCCCGUCACCGCAUGGUGCGCGGGUGGAAAGAUUUUUCGGUUGGAGAUGGGCUCGCGGCCUAUCAGCUUGUUGGUGAGGUAAUGGCUCACCAAGGCGUCGACGGGUAGCCGGCCUGAGAGGGUGACCGGCCACACUGGGACUGAGACACGGGCCAGACUCCUACGGGAGGCAGCAGUGGGGAAUAUUGCACAAUGGGCGAAAGCCUGAUGCAGCAACGCCGCGUGAGGGAUGACGGCCUUCGGGUUGUAAACCUCUUUUAGCAGGGAAGAAGCGAAAGUGACGGUACCUGCAGAAAAAGCACCGGCUAACUACGUGCCAGCCGCCGCAGUAAGAC